UUUUACACAUUUUACACAUUAACUAAAGAGUUCUGAUUGUGGAUUGUUACUUGUUAUCACUAUAGUUUCUACUUCUGAAGUACUUUGUUUGCACUCAGGAUGAGCAGGACAGCAGAGUGAUCUGUGAUAAUGUAGAGAAUCACCAAGGCCCUGCCCAGCACCACGGUCAGAAAAAAAGAGGAGGAAGAGGAAGAAGAAGUGAUGUCUUCAACAGUCAAAGAAGCAGUGAAGAAGAUAGUGUGUGAGGAGAGGACAGAGGAAUUUUACACCAGCUUUAACUGUACAUGAAAAGAAGCUGUAGCAGUAACACGCCUCCACUGAUGUGUGUGCAUUUC
ensembl:lncRNA